GACGAACGCUGGCGGCGUGCCUAAUACAUGCAAGUAGAACAGUUGCGAACGGGUGAGUAACGCGUAGGUAACUGCCGCAUAGCGGGGGAUAACAAUGGGAAACGAUAGCUAAUACCGAAAACUGUGAGAUGGGACUGCGUUGUAUUAGUUAGGUGACGAGGUAAAGGCCCACCAAGGCGACGAUACCUAGACGACCCGAGAGGGUGAUUGGCCAAACGUGGACUUAGGCACGGCCCAGACUCCUACGGUAGGCAGCGUUAGGGAAUCUGCGGCAAUGGACGGAAGUCUUACCGAGCAACGCCGCGUGAGUGAAGAAGGUUAUCGGAUCUUAAAGCUCUGAUGUUAGAGAAGCGGUAACUAACCAGAAAGGGACGGCUAACUACGUGCCAGCAGCCGCGGUAAUAC
rnacentral:rRNA from 1 species